GAUUAACGCUAGCGGCAGGCAUAAUACAUGCAAGUUGAACGGCAGCACAGGUAGCAAUACUGGGUGGCGAGUGGCGCACGGGUGCGUAACACGUAUGCAACCUACCCUAUACAGGCGAAUAACCUUUAGAAAUGAGGGCUAAUACGCCGUAGUAUUACAGAUGGGCAUCUAUUUGUAAUUAAAGAUUUAUCGGUAUAGGAUGGGCAUGCGUCCCAUUAGUUAGUUGGUAAGGUAACGGCUUACCAAGACGAUGAUGGGUAGGGGAUCUGAGAGGACUUACCCCCACACGGGUACUGAGACACGGACCAGACUCCUACGGGAGGCAGCAGUAAGGAAUAUUGGGCAAUGGCCGCGAGGCUGACCCAGCCAUGCCGCGUGCAGGAAGACGGCCUUAUGGGUUGUAAACUGCUUUUAUACGGGAAUAAUAGAGUGUACGCGUACAUUUAUGCAAGUAUCGUAUGAAUAAGCAUCGGCUAACUCCGUG
rnacentral:rRNA from 1 species